rnacentral:misc_RNA from 1 species
GAUGAAGAACGUAGCGAAAUGCGAUACGUAAUGUGAAUUGCAGAAUUCAGUGAAUCAUCGAAUCUUUGAACGCACAUUGCGCCCCUUGGUAUUCCGAGGGGCAUGCCUGUUCGAGCGUCAUUAUAACCCCUCAAGCUCAGCUUGGUGUUGGGGCCUGCUGCACUGGCAGCCCUUAAAAUCAGUGGCGGCGCCAUCUGGCUCUAAGCGUAGUAAUUCUUCUCGCUAUGGAGUCCUGGUGGAUGCUUACCAUCAACCCCCAAUUUUUCUAUGGUUGACCUCGGAUCAGGUAGGGAUACCCGCUGAACUUAAGCAUAUCAAUAAGCGGAGGA